rnacentral:lncRNA from 1 species
UUUUCUCAUUUUCUGCAAUAAUAAAAACCUAACAAAAAUUUCUUAAUUUGCGUUAGUCGUAGUAUAAAAGCUUAAUAUUUAGGACUAUCAACAUAAUUCCAAUGAUAAGUAAAGAAGGCGAGACAUUUCAGCGUGUGCACUCUAUCUGGUAUAAUUAAAAUGUAUAAUACUCUAAGCCAUCCCGAAAGUUUCAUGUCCUAUACUGGGCAGUUUACACGAGAACACUCAUAAAAUGCAUUAUCUGCUUCCCUGGGCAUGCCAUAUAUGUGUAAAACUAUGUCAGUCAUGGUGUUUAAUAUAUAGUUACUCUGUUUGGUUAGUGUAUGUGUACUAAAUGGCUUUCCUGGUAUUUUUUUGUUGCUCAACUUACUGUACUACAUGUGUUACUAAUGGCUUUCAAUACUUUUUAAUUUUGAACGAGCGUUCUCUUGUUCAGUUACCAGUGUAAACACCUCUUAUUUGUUUUAUGUAUUCAAGAUUAAUAAAAAUAGAAUUUCAUUUCAAUGUUAAAAGUUUUAUUUGCUGAACUGUUUAAAUAUAUUUGAUAUAAUAAAUACUGACAAUUCUAAUACUUGCAUACAGUACAAAAUAUCAUAGUGCAUAAGAAAUAUACAGUUUAAAUUCUCAUUUGUGGUGUCCAAUGUGUUGGGAGAUAGCUCUCACUGUACAGAAAGACUGCUACUAAUAUUCCAUUAUUUAUCCUUAUGCUGACCUUAAGCUUAUUUUACUGCUUUGUUUAUAAUUUUAUGGAUAGUGAACGUCGGGCUAUCUGCCAUAAAUGAAUGCUAGCAAGUUUAUAAAUAAAAAUCAUAAGUGUCAGGUGACACAUUAAUCCAAUAGUUACUUUUCAUUUCUGGAAAGCCCAAAUUACACACAAUUACGAAAUUGAGAAACAUAUAAUUGAAAUCAUCUUGAGUUGUCCUAUGAUUGUCAUUCACAUAAAAUCAAUAAAAAUAACUUGAAAUAUGCAAUCAUACAUCGGACACCACUGUUUGCAAGUACAUAGAAAAAACCUACAUAAAACAUAGAUCAUCACAACCAUCUAAAUAUUUACAAACAUUGUUUGUCCAGCAGAAUAUAACCAUUAAAUAUGUUAAAAAUAUUUGGUAUAAAAAAGCAAUAAUAGAUCAGUUUUCCAGGGGACGAAUUGAUAUUAAGAAAGAUAAAAAAUACACCCAUUCCCUGCCGUGAGACAUAUGUCAUACCUGUACAAUAAAUGUAAAAAAUUUAAACUUUUUUUACUUCAAGUGCUUUACAUAUUAAAAAAUAAAUUUACUGGAUAAUUAUCAUCAUUUCAAACCUUGGUACCAAAAUGACCUAGAAAUUUAUGUAUUAGUUGAUGCUUUCCCCUUAUACUUGGUAAAAACUUAAAUUUGACUGAUAAUAAUUGAAAAGUGGAUUACUGCCAUAUUUGUAAAAAUCAGUAUAAAAUAUUUGUCAAACUAUGAAAACUAAUAAAUUAUGUAUUUAAUAAAAAUACCCUGCACAAUUUAAUUCUGAUUUCUUUCUAUAUACAUUCCCCAACCUUACAGUACUGUUUAUAACUAAUAUCUUUUUCACAAUACAAUAAUGCAUGAACAUACAAAUUUUUACAAUGAAAUCAAACAUUAAUUUUCUUAGACAGGCUUAUCCACAUGAUUAAUAAUCGGACAGUACUUAGACUUUUAUUCGAUCUCAGUAUAUAUUUUAAUGUAUCAUAUCUACUUUUUAUUGCAUUUUUAUUUCCUUUACUCUUUUUAUUUUUAGUCAUUUCUCAUACUGACUUAUUUUUUAUUGCAUUUUUAUUUCCUUGAAAUUGAAGCUCUU